rnacentral:lncRNA from 1 species
UUCAGUAUGUUUUUGAGGGAUUCAAUGGGAUCUGUGAGGUUUUUCUGGUUUAUAUGGUGGAUCAAUUGAGAUUGAUGUUUUUAGGGUUAUUUGGCCGGAGCUUCCGGAGGUAGACGCGGCGGAGAAAGCAAUAGAGGUGGAAUUAUCUGAGAAAGUAGAUCAAUCGAUUCAUCAACACCGACGACACCAAAGUGAUCGACGAAAUCUCGCCAUUUGAUUUCGAAA